AAAAAAUCAAUUUUUUGGGGCAAAAAAUCCCUAUCAAACGAGGCCUUAGAUUAAAAUUUUGAUUUUAGUUCCCACUAAAUAUGGGCUUAAUAUAUAAAUUAUUAGUUUGAUAUUAAGAUGACACUAGAUUAUUCAAGAUCACUAAUGCAUGGUUCAUAAAAAAUCCCAACAUUCCAAAAUGAAUACAUGACCAUAGGAGCAUAGUUAUUAAAAUCGGACUGGACCGGCCGAUUCUGCCUGAGAAGGGGUAAAUCGGACACUGAUGUCAUCUGAUUGACACUUUUUGAUCCAUUUACAAUGAAACCUGACAAGAAUUGCCCAAACUGGUUCAUAUUUGUUCUAAACCAGGAGGGUUUAGUAGAACUGAAGAUUGAUUCAAUGUGAACCGAAUUUUAUUAAAUUAAUACAUAACAAAAUUUAAUAUCAAAAUUGCAUGAAAUAAGACUCGAACCCGCACUGCUUUGUUGUAACAUUAAAGCCUUGACCAAAAUGGUACAUAUAAAAUUGCAACAAAUAAUGUGAGUCAAAUUUAUAUAUUUAGUUUUACCAAAAUGACAUAAAAUAACAUUUAUAUUGUCUUUUUAUUUCUAAAAAAAAAAUAUUUUUUCAUUAAAAUUAAGAACUAACAACAAUUCAAUGAUUGAACCACUAGCCCUUGGUUGAACCAUGACCUAAUGACCCCAUGAUUUUUUUGGGUCAAUGAUUGGGUUGGGUCCAAUAACUACGCAUAGGAGUAUCAAUUUAGCUCAAUGUUGUUAAUGUUAUACAUAUAAAUUUAGCGGCUGAGCCUGGGAAAAGCUCGAGUCGAGCCCGAGUCAGUCAAACCACACAGGUUGGCCCAUGAGCAAAUAUAUAUAUAUAUAUAUAUAUAUAUAUAUAAAAGCUUUGAUAGCUAGGUGUAGCUACCUAGUAUUUGCAGGUACAGCUGCCUGCUGAAAAAUUUCAACAGGCAGAACUGCGUGGCUGCCCUUUUUCAAUUUUUUUGGAAAAAAAAUACGAACUGGCUCUGAUAGGCCUGACUUUAUAAGGCCCAAGCCUAUAUUUUUGGAGCUCUGGCUGGCCCGGCUCUAUAAGGCCCAAGCCUAUAAUUUUUUGACUUGGCAAAAGUUUAGUUUACAUAAAUAAAAGCUUGAACCAUUUUUACACGAGCCGAUCUCGAACUUUGAAUUUCGACUCUCGAACUGACUCAACUCAUUAACAUUCCUACAUGACCAUCAAAUCAACUGGUUCCACUUUACAAUGUCUGAAAUGAUUUUGCCUUCCAACAAAUUUACUAAUGUAAAUAUACACAUCAUCUUUUACCAAAAUUUACUAAAAUAUAAAAAGGAAGACGGAUAAUACGAACUUACACCGAUGGCUGCUUGGCCGUUGCCGGUGCCGACGUCCCAAGCAAGAGAGUGAUUUGAGGUUCGCUCCGCCAGCAUGGAAUACCACUCUUUUGGAUAAGUAGGCCUUGCAUCCAAGUAUAUCGCAGCCUGCUUGUCGAAUAAUCCUGCCAUUAGUUUAAUUUCUAUAUAUCUCUCUUAUCCACUCUAUGUGAUUUUCUGUGUAUUCGCGUUGGAAGAGCCAAAUUCGAGAGGAGCUUCUGACCUAAUCAACAUUGUCCUCAGUCCUAUAAAUUAAAAAUUUCUAUUUAAGAAUUAGGAUAAAUUACACACGGAAUCCUUUAAUUUCCAAGAGUUCGAC
rnacentral:lncRNA from 1 species